UUAGCGGCGGACGGGUGAGUAAUGCUUAGGAAUCUGCCAUUUAGUGGGGGACAACAUUCCGAAAGGAAUGCUAAUACCGCAUACGUCCUACGGGAGAAAGCAGGGGAUCUUCGGACCUUGCGCUAAAUGAUGAGCCUAAGUCGGAUUAGCUAGUUGGUGGGGUAAAGGCCUACCAAGGCGACGAUCUGUAGCGGGUCUGAGAGGAUGAUCCGCCACACUGGGACUGAGACACGGCCCAGACUCCUACGGGAGGCAGCAGUGGGGAAUAUUGGACAAUGGGCGGAAGCCUGAUCCAGCCAUGCCGCGUGUGUGAAGAAGGCCUUUUGGUUGUAAAGCACUUUAAGCGAGGAGGAGGCUACUAGUACUAAUACUACUGGAUAGUGGACGUUACUCGCAGAAUAAGCACCGGCUAACUCUGUGCCAGCAGCCGCGGUAAUACAGAGGGUGCGAGCGUUAAUCGGAUUUACUGGGCGUAAAGCGUGCGUAGGCGGCUUUUUAAGUCGGAUGUGAAAUCCCCGAGCUUAACUUGGGAAUUGCAUUCGAUACUGGGAAGCUAGAGUAUGGGAGAGGAUGGUAGAAUUCCAGGUGUAGCGGUGAAAUGCGUAGAGAUUUGGAGGAAUACCGAUGGCGAAGGCAGCCAUCUGGCCUAAUACUGACGCUGAGGUACGAAAGCAUGGGGAGCAAACAGGAUUAGAUACCCUGGUAGUCCAUGCCGUAAACGAUGU
rnacentral:rRNA from 1 species